rnacentral:rRNA from 1 species
GAGGCCGAAAGGCGUAGUCGAUGGGAAACGGGUUAAUAUUCCCGUACUUGGUGUUACUGCGAAGGGGGGACGGAGAAGGCUAUGUUGGCCGGGCGACGGUUGUCCCGGUUUAAGCGUGUAGGUGUGUGUUCCAGGUAAAUCCGGUUCACUUUAACACUGAGGCGUGAUGACGAGGCACUACGGUGCUGAAGCAACAAAUGCCCUGCUUCCAGGAAAAGCCUCUAAGCAUCAGGUAACAUCAAAUCGUACCCCAAACCGACACAGGUGGUCAGGUAGAGAAUACCAAGGCGCUUGAGAGAACUCGGGUGAAGGAACUAGGCAAAAUGGUGCCGUAACUUCGGGAGAAGGCACGCUGACACGUAGGUGAAGUGAUUUACUCACGGAGCUGAAGUCAGUCGAAGAUACCAGCUGGCUGCAACUGUUUAUUAAAAACACAGCACUGUGCAAACACGAAAGUGGACGUAUACGGUGUGACGCCUGCCCGGUGCCGGAAGGUUAAUUGAUGGGGUCAGCGCAAGCGAAGCUCCUGAUCGAAGCCCCGGUAAACGGCGGCCGUAACUAUAACGGUCCUAAGGUAGCGAAAUUCCUUGUCGGGUAAGUUCCGACCUGCACGAAUGGCGUAAUGAUGGCCAGGCUGUCUCCACCCGAGACUCAGUGAAAUUGAACUCGCUGUGAAGAUGCAGUGUACCCGCGGCAAGACGGAAAGACCCCGUGAACCUUUACUAUAGCUUGACACUGAACAUUGAGCCUUGAUGUGUAGGAUAGGUGGGAGGCUUUGAAGCGUGGACGCCAGUCUGCGUGGAGCCGACCUUGAAAUACCACCCUUUAAUGUUUGAUGUUCUAACGUGGACCCGUAAUCCGGGUUGCGGACAGUGUCUGGUGGGUAGUUUGACUGGGGCGGUCUCCUCCUAAAGAGUAACGGAGGAGCACGAAGGUUGGCUAAUCCUGGUCGGACAUCAGGAGGUUAGUGCAAUGGCAUAAGCCAGCUUGACUGCGAGCGUGACGGCGCGAGCAGGUGCGAAAGCAGGUCAUAGUGAUCCGGUGGUUCUGAAUGGAAGGGCCAUCGCUCAACGGAUAAAAGGUACUCCGGGGAUAACAGGCUGAUACCGCCCAAGAGUUCAUAUCGACGGCGGUGUUUGGCACCUCGAUGUCGGCUCAUCACAUCCUGGGGCUGAAGUAGGUCCCAAGGGUAUGGCUGUUCGCCAUUUAAAGUGGUACGCGAGCUGGGUUUAGAACGUCGUGAGACAGUUCGGUCCCUAUCUGCCGUGGGCGCUGGAAGACUGAGGGGGGCUGCUCCUAGUACGAGAGGACCGGAGUGGACGCAUCACUGGUGUUCGGGUUGUCAUGCCAAUGGCACUGCCCGGUAGCUAAAUGCGGAAAAGAUAAGUGCUGAAAGCAUCUAAGCACGAAACUUGCCCC